AGCAGGGUAGCUGAACAUCUUACGGAUGGCCCAGGGCUCCAAAGGCUUGUUUCCUAAGUGAGAGAGAGCCCGGCUGAAGCUCUAUUACCAUUCAUUCUCUAGCCUCCGAAGUCUCAAAGCAUCACUUCCACCAUACUCUAAUUGUCAAGACAAACACAAAGUCCUAGAAACUGCCAGACUGUCUUCCGAAGUGGCUAUAAUAUUUACACUCCCAUCAGCAGUGUAGAUGGGGGUCUCACUACGUUGUCUGGAGUGCAGUGGCUAGAGUGGAGUGGCUAUUCACAGAGCCAGUUCUGCUGCGACACAGAAUCACUUGCUCCAUCUAAUACAUUGAUGAUGAUUAAUUUGUAUGUGUACCUUCCAAAAAAGAUGGUCGUGUUUGAACGGAGGCCUUCUGGACAGGAAAAUAUGGAGAGUGCAUGCUUUGGAUUCAAGACUGGGAAUGAGGGACCAGAAACCUGUUCUGUGGCUGUUUGUUGUUAGGACUUUCCUAAGCCUCUGGAAAAGGGUCAGUCCUGCUGAGGCUCUCCAUGGAGAUGGUCAGCAAGUGCAAAGUACAAUUAACAUUUGAGUCUGUCUGAGUCAUGAAGAAAUGGAGAUUACUG
rnacentral:lncRNA from 1 species